GAUCAGAGAAAAGUUUAGAAAUAGUAAUUUGUUAUUGUUGUUCAAGAGAAUAAAUUGAUAUUGUUGGAUUUAUUGUCGUCGCAAAGUUCGUAAGACUUAAUUAGAAGAAGGAUAUUACAAAUACGAGAAAGCCUCCUUGGCCAGCGCGUGUCGCUGUGUCUGGUCAAGGAGGGCAACGAGCGUAAAGAUGAUGAAGAGGCAGACAUACAUUUUUGUUCGUUCUCGCUCGCGAAUGUAACACUAUACAUGCAGCUUAAGUAAAUAGGCUCUUUGCAGUUGGCUGAAAAUAGUUGAGAAAAAUAAGUCACUACAGCACGGAGAGCUGAGGGAUUUGUAAACAGAUCAAUAUCUGGCCAGAUCAGUAUCCGACUACAAAGGCAGGACCUGGUGAUGUUGUCACCUGAUGAUCAAAACUCGAAAGCUUGUUGUACGUGUAGUUUCAGGUAGUUUUAUAUCGUUCCCCGCACAGUUGCCUUGGAAAAGGACACCUUCUCGCGAAUUAGUUGUUUUACUUCUUAUUCUCUAUCAAUAGUUUUGCAAUACAAUUUUUUUUCUUUGAUCUUUCCAUCCUUCCUAGGCGUACAAAAAAUGGCGUGAAACAAAUGGCAUAGAAGACAAACUGCCUGGUCUACAAUUUAACAAUGAUCAGCUCUUCUUCAUUGGUUUUGCUCAGGUGAACUUAGAUGGAAA